GGGUUGUGAGGUUAAGCGACUAAGCGUACACGGUGGAUGCCCUGGCAGUCAGAGGCGAUGAAGGACGUGCUAAUCUGCGAAAAGCGCCGGCGAGGUGAUAUGAACCUUUGACCCGGCGAUGUCCGAAUGGGGAAACCCAGUGUGUUCCGACACACUAUCGUUAACUGAAUACAUAGGUUAACGAGGCGAACCGGGGGAACUGAAACAUCUAAGUACCCCGAGGAAAAGAAAUCAACCGAGAUUCCCCCAGUAGCGGCGAGCGAACGGGGAGCAGCCCGGAGUCUGAAUCAGCUUGUGUGUUAGUGGAACGGUCUGGAAAGUCCGACGGUACAGGGUGAUAGUCCCGUACACGAAAACACACUUGCUGUGAACUCGAAGAGUAGGGCGGGACACGUGGUAUCCUGUCUGAAUAUGGGGGGACCAUCCUCCAAGGCUAAAUACUCCUGACUGACCGAUAGUGAACCAGUACCGUGAGGGAAAGGCGAAAAGAACCCCGGCGAGGGGAGUGAAAAAGAACCUGAAACCGUGUACGUACAAGCAGUGGGAGCCUCUUUAUGGGGUGACUGCGUACCUUUUGUAUAAUGGGUCAGCGACUUAUAUUCUGUAGCAAGGUUAACCGUAUAGGGGAGCCGAAGGGAAACCGAGUCUUAACUGGGCGUUAAGUUGCAGGGUAUAGACCCGAAACCCGGUGAUCUAGCCAUGGGCAGGUUGAAGGUUGGGUAACACUAACUGGAGGACCGAACCGACUAAUGUUGAAAAAUUAGCGGAUGACCUGUGGCUGGGGGUGAAAGGCCAAUCAAACCGGGAGAUAGCUGGUUCUCCCCGAAAGCUAUUUAGGUAGCGCCUCGUGAACUCAUCUUCGGGGGUAGAGCACUGUUUCGGCUAGGGGGCCAUCCCGGCUUACCAACCCGAUGCAAACUACGAAUACCGAAGAAUGUUAUCACGGGAGACACACGGCGGGUGCUAACGUCCGUCGUGAAGAGGGAAACAACCCAGACCGCCAGCUAAGGUCCCAAAGUCAUGGUUAAGUGGGAAACGAUGUGGGAAGGCACAGACAGCCAGGAUGUUGGCUUAGAAGCAGCCAUCAUUUAAAGAAAGCGUAAUAGCUCACUGGUCGAGUCGGCCUGCGCGGAAGAUGUAACGGGGCUAAACCAUGCACCGAAGCUGCGGCAGCGAC
rnacentral:rRNA from 1 species